UACGAGGGGUCCAAGCGUUGCUCGGAAUCAUUGGGCGUAAAGCGGGUGUAGGUGGCUUUGUAAGUCGGGAGUGAAAGCCCUAGGCUCAACCUAGGAAGUGCUUUCGAUACUGCGAAGCUUGAGUGUGGGAGAGGAUCGUGGAAUUCCAGGUGUAGUGGUGAAAUACGUAGAUAUCUGGAGGAACACCGGUGGCGAAGGCGGCGAUCUGGCCCAACACUGACACUCAGACCCGAAAGUGCGGGGAUCAAACAGG
rnacentral:rRNA from 1 species